AAAAACGAGAGUUGAGAAGGAAAACCAAAAUAUCAUCCCAACUUGGUUGCGUUUGGGUCCUCGGAACUCUUUGUUUACACGAUGUUCGAGUACCCAAACCACAAAACCAAUGAAAACGAAGAAUGCUCCAGUUGUUAUCCAAAGCUCGCUCUUUAGAGGUUUCAAGAAAAUCCAAGCAUCCCUCCUAUCAUCAUCCCUUACCGGCACAACUACAGAAAUACCUGACUCUAUAAAAGGUAAUGUGAAAUCCACAUACUCUGACCGGCUCGCUAAAAUGGUCACAUCACCUACAACUGCAUCAUAGUCCUGGCUCAAGCAAACAUUGAUUAUUCCAGUAUGUAUAGUUGAUUGUAAUAGCAGAAAAUAGAUAUCGAAGUCCCAAAAAGGGCCAUGUUAGUAAGAUAUAGAGCCAAAGAGGUUUAUUGGAACAGAGAUUAUAUAUUACCUGAGAGGUGAUCUUGUGAACAAGAUCAUCAUAGUCUGGAAGAGUGAGGGGAUCUUGUAUUGGAAAUGGAAUAAAUUCGUAAGGGAGAGCAUAUGGCAAAGAUAGGAUGACUUCUUUGAAGACAUCUGCACAGAAACCAGUUGCUGUUACUGCUUGUGUUUUUGAAUCUCUUUCCACUUUAAUGAGUUGCUCCAGCCCUCCUUUGAGAGGAACUCCAACCCUUAACUUCUUCCCACUUGUGGGCAUUUCCCAGCCUCUUGGAACAAUAGUUGAUUCACCAGGCCAAAAAAUGGCUCCUAGUUGCUUAUUAUUACACUUAACUGCUGUUUUACCAUUCAUCUUCAGUUUACACGAAAUGCCAUCCCUCUUCGUCCAAAAUCCAAUGUUUUUCUCUCCUUUCCCAAUUAUAUUCACAAUCUGAUAUGGGAUUGGCUGCAGUUCUCCAUUGAUGAUACGGAAAUCACCACUUAAUCCUUGUUUUAGCACUGUGUUUCGCAUAGAGUCAAUGAGCAGAGAUCCCACUGCUGACGUUCCAAGUGCAUCUAAGUCUGUUAAGUUCUCUCUGGUGUCUGGUUUCUUUAAUUUUGGGAUAGCAGUAGUGCCUACUUUAUCUACUGCUUCUGCUAAUGAGGUGAUGCUAUCGUAUGCCCAUAGCCCAAAAACAUUGAGUUCUAUUUGGUCCAUGUCUGGAUACUCUUGACGGAAUCUCUUUCUCCAUCUCUUUGUGUAGUUGUUAAGCUGAUUUGAUCUUGGAAUGUAAGGUUUUAUACCAAGAACACCUUGCAUUGAUGACUCGAUCACUGAAUGAUCUACCAAGUCCAGAAGACUCGUUAGCACAUCUGUGAUGAUCCAUGCAUAUCCACUGCUCAUCAUCCCUGCUUCUUUGGCCUUGAGAAAAAGGCGGGAGGCAAGAUAUGGACGCAAGUGCACGACGAACACCCUUGUUUGCUUUGUAUUCAUAUUGUAUAACUCCUUGAGAAUCUGAUCAUCAUUGGCUGACGGAGAAAUAACACUUCUAUAGGAGACUAAAGUGCUGAUUUCCAGUAAGGCAUCAGUCAAAUGUGGAACUAUCCCGAACCCAUAGGGGCUAUCCUCAUAGAUGACCACAACCUCCCUCCAAUCAAAGUUUUUAACAAGUGCUGCAAUGGCCUUAGUCUGGCUGGAAGAAGGAAGUGCUGCUCUGAUGAAGAAGGGAUUUUCCUUGACUGUAAGUAAAGGACUUGUUGCUGGAGAAAUGAUUGGGACUUUUACUCUGUUCCCUAAGUCGAUCACAAAAUCAGUUUGUGUAGACAUUUGUGGCCCAAAGAUAGCUUGUACUUGGACAUCCUUUAGCAAGUAUAUGGCUGCACAUACACAAUCAGACAAUAAGAAUUUACCCAAAGUAAGAGUUUAAUAGAAGUGAAUCAUGGAACUGAAUUUACCAGCAGAUGUUGCUUCAACAUCAUCUUUCUUGGAAUCCUUGAUAUGAGGAACUAUCCUUAUGGCACCGCGACUAGCGUUGGCAUGAUAAUCUUCAAGUGCUAGUAAGAUAGAUAUGUGCAUUACUUUUCCCACAUCUGUUUCCAGAUCAAGAAUUAUACCCACAUCCACCUUUACAGCACUAGUGUUAUUAUCUUCACCUCUUAUUCGAACCACAUAGUGGUAAAAGCUAAUGAUGGAGAUAAGUUGAAAUGAAAAGAAUUAGAAAAGUGGCAUCUUGGAUUAUGCAUUUGAAAAAACUCUGGUAGCAAGUAGUCUGAGAGAUGGGCAACAAGCAGUUGUGCUUGUGCAAGAUAACCACACAUUCAGAAUGACAAUUUUCCUAUAAUUAAUAAGACCAAACUCCAUAAAUGAAGAAAGAAAAGUCAAAGAACAAAUGGUUGAAAAUCAAGUAUUCGUUUGAUUAUUGAAAGUGAGGACUUUUCACAUAUGCUACAACCGCACAGCUAGUAAGCAUAUUACCCCUCAGGUUUGACUAAAUAAAAAUUUGACAAAAUUGAUUGGUACUCAUUCCCCAACACCCAAUUACUUUUUGUGUGUACUAUCUAGAGGAUAUAUUCAAGGGAACUUACAUGAAUUCAACUAAUUUAGGAGUUAAUUACUUAAAUACAUUGUAGUUUGCAAUAUUACGUAUUUUACUAGAUUUUGGUAUGUCCAGAUACAUUCAGAUACAUAUAUGUGAGGUUACUUAGGAUCAAAAUUAGGUGUAAUUUGCUCUAGAUGCAUUGUAUCUAAGUGACUUUGCAUGUAUCUGGGAUACAUAACAAAUCUCGCUCGCCUCUCUCCCAUCUCUCACUCUCCUAUGUAUCUGAUAUUCCAUAUACAUGUGAAUCACACCAGAUACAUACACAUAAAUGUAUCUUAUGUGUAUAUAGUGUGAUUCGCAUGUAUCUGGGAUACAUAACAAAUCCCGCUUGCCUCUUUCCUCAUCUCGUUCCCCUAUCUUCCUAUUUUUGUGUAUCUGAUGGCAAAAAUUCAUGUAGCCAAAUGUAUUUUCCUCAAUAUAUGAUAGGAAACUCUUAAUUAGUGAUAGUAUACGAAAUAUUUUAAAAGUAUAGAAUAUAAUAGUAUAUAUGAUAGUGAAGUAUGUCUAAUGAUAUAGUUUUUCUGUAUUGAAAGGACUUCCCAAAUUUUGGCUGAGGCAUAAAAAGUUGACAAAUUUAGCUCAGUUACAAAUUCCACAAUUAAACCAAUAAGUAGAAGAGACCAUUGUUUUCCAACUUGGACAAGGCUAGAUACGACUAGUAAUCUUUAGUUUACGCGUUUUCAGUUACUAGUCUUUGGACACGUGCGUUGCACGUAUAUCCCAUAUUAUAUGGUUGCAUAAUAUAUGUCUAUAGUUACAAAUAUAUGUAUAAAAAAAAAUUGAUUGUGAUAUAAAUUGGAAAACAUGUAUAAGAUAAGAAAUCAAAACAGAUACCCUCAAAUUUCAAACUAUAAGCAUAAUAAGAAUAUGUAUUUCUAAUGAGUUUAAUCAAUCAUACCUUGCAAUAAUCUCUGCAAUUCAUUGAGAAACUUUCAAUCCAUACAUCAACAUUCAAUCGUGUAUAUAUAAAGAAAACUUGAAAUGCAUAACAACAAUUAUAUCUAUAUUUUUUAAAACACUAUAAAGUCAUUUUUUCUUUUUGCAUUAUAAUAUGGAUUGCACACAAUUUCUAUUAAAAAAAAGAAAGACAAAAUUAGGAAAAAUCGUAUCAAUAAAUUGGAAUGAAAAAUGUAAAAUUGUAAUAAGAGGAAGAGAAGAAAAAUACAGUAGAAUAUAUUACCUAACCAUGAAUAAGGAAGUAUGUUGAGUAAAAGAAGAGUAAUGCAAAAGUGUGAACUGAUAUAUGGAGGAAAUUGACAAAUAUAAUAAUCUAUAUUGAAUAAUGAAAAACAACUCUUCAAUUUCUGCAAAAAUUUUAUAACUACGAGCUCAAAAUAAUAUAAAUUUAUUAAUUUAAUAAAUGACAUAAAUAAAUAAAUAACAUAUAUUGUGUGUAUGUGUAGUUAAUGGGGUAGUGAAAAAGACUCUUUCUGAAAUUAUUUUUAUCUCUUUAAAGUAAUUUUGAACUUUUGAUAUUAGUGCUAUAGAAAAUCAUAUAAAGUCAUAAGCCACUGCAAGUUUUUAUAGUAAUUAUCUUAUUAAAUUAUAUACCUAUUAUUAUUUUUAAUUAUUUAUAAUCAUUCCGAAAAUGUAUAAAUUAAUUUUGAAAAGCUUGUAAAAUGAGAAAUUAUUAUUUCUUAUCAUUAUUUUAGCUAUUAUUAACAUUUAGUAUGACAACAUUUUAAAAAAGCAGCUUCCUUUAAAUAUUAAUUGUUUCUAAAUUAACAUAGCCAAGAAUUUAAAAUGUUGUGACGUUUUGUUUAUCUAAACACGCAGAAUUUUGUUUUUGAACCUGGAACAUGUAAUUAAGCCUUGGGUGAAUUAUAAUUUUAUUUUUACUAUUUAAUUAAUUAAAUAAUUUGUAACAUUUUAAUAUAAUGAAGGGGUAAAAUGGUAACUCAACUUUAAAGGUUGGAGCUUCCCACUUUUAGUAAUAUAUGAUAAAUUGGUCAGUAGUAGUAACCUAGUUUAAUUUGAUAUAAUAACAUUCAUGACAAAAUAAAUUAAAUAUGGCUAAUUAAGAAAAUAUAAUUAAAUAUGAUUAUCUUUAAUGUUAUUUAAAUUUGUAGGCGAUUUUUUUUGUAUUUUAAAAUUAAAAAAAGGCCAAAAAACCCACAAAAAGAGAUAAAUAGGAUUGAAGCCCUUAGAGAGCGUCACCUCACCGUUUUCAUAUUCAACUUUAUUAUUAUAUAUGGAUUUAGAUUUUUGCACAACCUUAAAUUUAAGGACACAUUUAGAUAUUAUAUCAAACAUUCAUUUAUUUGAAGUUGAAAUUACAUUUUACAUGAAAAUUGGAUAUUCCAUAUUCACAUUGAGUAUGAAUCUUUUUGUUUUUUUUACAAAAUUCAAAAUAAAAAAAUACAAAACAUAAACUUAUAGAUCAAAUUUUACAUUUGACAUUUGAAAGUUUUACUUUUCAUUAAACGUUUUGUUAUAGAAUUUGGAAUCGCCCUUUGAAAUUAGUAUUUAUAAAUGAAAAUAUUGAUCUAGUCCUGUUGAAAUUGUGUCUGGCCUAGUACUUUUUCUUAUUAGAGUGAUUAUUGAAUUAGGUUUAAUAUCAAUUUUCUUAAUUAGUUUUGUCAAUUGGCAGUGCUAAGAAGAUGGGAAUUUACGUUAUAUUAAAUUAUCUUUACAUUAAUAAAAAAAGAAAUUGUUGUUAGUAUUAUUUGUAAUAUAAUUAAACAAAAAUAACAAUGGGAAGAAAAUAAUAAGUAAAGAUUACACGUUGUAUUAAAAUAAUAAGUAUUAAAAAUUAUGAUAAAUUUUAUAAUAGUCAUAACAGGAAUUUACGCAAUAAUUACUAUAUUAGAAUACUAGAAAAAUUGAUAAGUUCCUCGACAUCUAAUCAUUGAUUAAAAUUUAAAUUAUUAUUUUCUUCUGCGAAAGUUUAAGAGAUUAAAUUAAUGUUUUAAAAAAUAAUAUUAAUUAUUUUCAAUGAUUAAUAAGAAAAUGUAUAUAGCAAGUACAUGUAUUAUUAUUACAUUAUUUAUAUCCACUCUAUAUUAAAUCAUUUUUCUAUUAUAGUUUGACGCAAAUUUCAGAAUGUAAAGAAUGUUUUGGAUUCGAAAAAUAAAUAUUCAAAAUAUACUAACAUGUCAUUUAAUCUUAUGAUAUUUUACAUUUCAUGUGAAAAAAAAUUAAAUAUUAAUUUUUUAAUAUGAAAAAUAUUAAUUUAUUAAUACAACAUAAAAGUAAUAAAGGACAAUAUAUAAAAAUAUUUGAAGUAUUUGAUAUUUUAUUAAAUUAAAAUAAUUCUAAAUUAAUAUAUAGCCGCGCAACGCGCGGGUACGUAUACUAGUGAAGAACAAUAAUAAAGAAGAAGACAAUUGAGUUAAUAUUUAUUUUUUCCAAGUUUAAUUUAACACAUGACCAGUUUUUAUUGGUCAGUGCUGUCAAAAAGUUGCACCCACGCGCCUAAAAUAGGUGAAAUCACGGACUCAGCCACGUAGGCCAAAAAGUGGUAAACAAUUAACUAAAAAAUAAGUUCAGGGGGGUAAUAGGACUUUAGUAAAGGUUAGGUGUGUCUCAGGGAUUUUGGGCAUAGGCUGGGGGGGUACUUAUGCAUUUUCCCUUAUGUUAAAUAUACCAAAAUGUUUUUUAAUCUUAUGACUUUAAACAUGUCACGUGAAAAACUGAAAUUAAAGUGUUGCCAAAAAAAGAAGGGUCAUUUUUUUUAAACAGACUAAACAGAAAAGUAGAUCUUUUUAAAACGGAAGGGAAGUAAUUGUUAAUGCAAGAGGAAGCUGCUUGAAAAGUUACGUAUAUGAUGUUGAAGUUGUCUAACAUGCAAUGCUGGUCCUAUAAUCUUUCAUUAUUUAUUAUCCAUGACUAUGGGUGGAUAAUAAUAGUUAUCUGCUAUGAUCAUAUAUACCUAGGGGUGGACAUAUUACUUAGAAAACUUAUGUUAGGUAAUUUUGAUUUCUAAAAAUACUAUAUGGUGUAUGCUAUUUGCAGAUGAUAGUCCUAAUCGACCAGACUCGUAAUAGAGUUAAUGUUAAGCUAGAGAAGAUAAUAAUGGCUCCCUUCUCAAAUAUUUCAUUGGUAGAAAUUUGCCUUCCAGAAUUUCAUAAUUGCAUCUGAUCCUUUCUGAUAACUCAAAGGGCAUCUUAAAUUGGUGCGGAAGUUUAAUUUUGACAUGGAACGCAAAUAUAUGCGGAAAAUUAGUAAUUCAAUAAAUAUUUAAUUAUGAAUGCAUAUUACAAAAGUGCAAGGAAUUCAAUUGUAAGAUGUUGAAGGUUAAACCCAUAAAUUCUAAAUACUAGAGACGCCUCUUAAUGCAAAUAUAAUAUGGUUUAACUAUUUUAAACCUGGCUCAUCUCUCUUAAGUUGUCCCUGUAAUGUUUUCAUGAACUGGAGUUCCAGGUUCUGUUGUAGAGAACCCUUCAAGUGCAGGGGAUGCUCCUAAGCCGUCGGAAAUUCUGAUUUCUGGGCUUUGCAAAGGAAGGUGGGGCAAUAUUUCAGUAGAGGCUUCACUUUCUGCAAACAGCAUAGCUGUUUGGAUUUCAUUGCCUUCAGAUGGCUCUUCUGACAUAGAAUUAGAGUUGUCUCUCUCUUUAUCAAAGGCAUUUGCUAUUGCAGAAAGCUUUUGCCAUACUGAAUCAUCAGUGGCUAAGAUUUCUCUAUUCUGAUAAAGGAAGAUGAGGAAGAAUAGGAGAAGAGCGGAGCCCGCUGAUACACCAGCUAUGAGGAAAAGGCCCUUAAAACUAUCGAGCAUGAGGCUAGAUGCUAUAGCCAUUCCAUCUUGCUUUGGACAAUCUGUUUCAUUCCCAAACCAUUUCUGUAUUAUGUUAUUCAUAAACUCUCCUUCCAUCACCUGCAAGACUGCUCUUGAGACGUCAGGUACCAAAGGAGAUCCUUUUGGAAAUGCCUGCCAGAAGUUGGGGGAAAAUAAAAGAUUAAAUUAUUGAGUAGAACAUAAACCAUUCUAAACAAAUGUAAACACGUUCUGAAACAUCACUGGAGUGCAACAUUCUUACGAAUCCAAAGCCAGCAGCCUUGUAUGUCGGACCGACCAUAAUAUACUUCCUGCAAUACUUGUUGAGGAAGAGUCUGAGAUAAGGUAGUUCAUCAACAAUUGCACCAACACCUCCAUUUUUACUUCCUCUUGAGAGGGCAUUACUAUACUCUUCCAAUGUGCUAUAACUUAUGAACUUGGAACUGUCAAACUUCAUGUGCUUCAAGACAUCUUUGACAAAGGAACCUUCUUGGUACCCAACAUAUUCUCCAUUCUUGAUCAGAUCAUUGAGGUCAGUUAUAGAAGGUUGGAGCUGUUGCACUGUCAACAUAGAUGUUAAGUUGGCUGUAUAACUUGAUGUCAGCACCAGAACCACGAAAACCCACACAAUCAGCACAAAUCUUGUGAAGUUACUAGUAACCCUCUCUCCUGAAACAACCAGCCAUAUAUAUGAUUUGUUGAGAAACAAGGAUAAAUCCUAAAGCUUUUUGUAUAUAAUUUGCUUUGUGUUAGAGACUUACUAUGAGCAAAAACGAGAGUUGAGAAGGAAAACCAGAAUAUCAUCCCAACUUGCUUGUGUUUGGGUCCUCGAAACUCUUUGUUUACACGAUGUUCAAGUACCCAAACCACAAAACCAAUGAAGAUGAAGAAUCCUCCUGUUGUUAUCCAAAGCUCGCUCUUUAGAGGUUUCAAGAAAAUCCAAGCAUUCUUUCUAUCAUCAUUCUUUACCGACACAACAGCAGAAAUACCGGACUCUGAAAAAGGUAAUGUGAAAUCCACAUACUUGGCUCGGCUCGCUAAAAUGGUCACAUCACCUACAACUGCAUCAU
rnacentral:lncRNA from 1 species